UACGGAGGGUGCGAGCGUUGUCCGGAAUCAUUGGGCGUAAAGAGCGCGUAGGCGGCCCUGUAAGUCCGCUGUGAAAGUCAAGGGCUCAACCCUUGAAUGCCGGUGGAUACUGCAGGGCUAGAGUCCGGAAGAGGCGAGUGGAAUUCCUGGUGUAGCGGUGAAAUGCGCAGAUAUCAGGAGGAACACCGAUGGCGAAGGCAGGUCUCUGGGCUGACACUGACGCUCAUGCACGAAAGCGUGGGGAGCAAACAGG
rnacentral:rRNA from 1 species